GAUGAAGAACGUAGCGAAAUGCGAUAAGUAAUGUGAAUUGCAGAAUUCAGUGAAUCAUCGAAUCUUUGAACGCACAUUGCGCCCGCCAGUAUUCUGGCGGGCAUGCCUGUUCGAGCGUCAUUUCAACCAUCAAGCCCCAGGCUUGUGUUGGGUACCUGCGGCUGCCGCAGGCCCUGAAAACCAGUGGCGGGCUCGCUGUCACACCGGGCGUAGUAGAUUUUAUCUCGCUCAGGGCGUGCUGCGGGUUCCGGCCGUUAAAAAGCCUUUUUUACCCAAGGUUGACCUCGGAUCAGGUAGGAAGACCCGCUGAACUUAAGCAUAUCAAUAAGCGGAGGA
rnacentral:misc_RNA from 1 species